AAGUACACUGCAUAGCUAUCCUAGCAUUAACCUUUUAAGUUAAAGAUUGAGGGGUAUACCCUCUG
rnacentral:tRNA from 1 species